AUGAAGACCCGCCGCAUUCAACUCCUAGUUGUAGGAGAAAGAAUGAGAAGCAAUGAGAAGAAGAGCUAGUUGAAUGUACCACAUGUCUGAAACACGCUUCUACAUUGAUAAACAAGAUGACUUAACAGAGGAUGAAGGUCAGACGGAUAUGAUAUGUAGAGAUAACCAUGAAUUUCUACGCGGCUGAUCGAAGAAGAUGGCUGAAAAUGGAGUUUUGAAAACCUCUUAAGCUCUUAACAUUCUUCUGUAUUUGCUUAUUUCCUUUUUUUUUUAAAUUUUAAUUAGUGCUAUAGUUUAAUUUCAUUUUUGAUUAUUGGGAACGAUGCACUUCUAGGAUUGGUAGGUGUACUAUUUUUUAAUUUUUGUUAAUUGAUAAACGUGAUGGGGCAUUUGGUUUGAAAAAAGAAAAAGAAAAGGAAAGAAAAGAUUUCAUGUAAUAUAAUUAAAAUUUAAGUUUAAUUUGUAA